rnacentral:tRNA from 1 species
GUCCCUUUCGUCUAAUGGUUAGGACAUCGCUCUUUCACGGCGGCAAUAGGGGUUCAAAUCCCCUAGGGGGCA